AGAUACUUCAAUCUGGAUCGAUCAGUUAGUAAUCGGGACUGUCCAAGAACAGAGAGCAGGAAAUUCGUGCAUCAAGUUGAACAUGAUCGUCAAACCUGCCCCUUAUGCAAGGCACCUCACUUGCCAAGAGAAUGCAAAAGAUUCAAAGAUUCCAAUCCUUUACAACGACGUGAACUGGCAUGGAAGACUGGUAUGUGCUUUAGAUGCCUGAACUUGGGUCAUCGAGCGUUUGAGUGUCCCAGGAAAGAAGAAUUGAAUUGUCGAAAAGACGGGUGCACCGGGACCCAUCACACUUGGCUCCACGUCGAUAAAUCAAGGGAACCGGUGGACGUGGAAACAAGAAGAGAGCUAGAAAACCGGCACGUAUCUGAAUCAACACGUCAAGUUCAGAUCAAUACUUGUGGCGGAACCAAGUUGGGUGUGAUCCCUUUGAAGGGCGUGAACGGAUCAAAAUCCUUGCCGAUCAACGCCCUUGUUGAUGAGGGCUCAGACGUUACGCUCAUUUCAAAAAAAAAUAGUGCAAAAACUGAAGAUCCCACAACCAAAAGAGAAGACCUUGAACAUGAACCUGAUCUCGCAUGAAAUUCAAUGUAGAAGUAGUGUUGUUGAUGUGAUGAUUGGAGGUUGUGAUGAGAACGCCAUGUUUGGGAUUCAAACUCUCACUAUGGACAAGGUGUGUAACAAUCUGAGAUCAUUUCCUUGGCACUCGGUACAAGGAAAGUUCGAUCAUUUGUCUGAUCUUCUCUUGACCCAUCUAGACGGGGAAGUAGACAUGCUUAUCGGGGUGGAUAACCUGAAUUUGAUAUAUCCUCAGGAAGUACGACGGGGUGGACCUAAUGAUCCCAUUGCCAUCCAUUGUGCUCUGGGUUGGGUCGUCCGUGGUAAAACAUCUAUAGUGGACCAAUCAAUUAGCGCAGAACAAUUCGGGGCCGAAAAUGGGGAGGGAAUCAGACCUGUUUGGUCGCAAGAAGAAGCAUGCGGAAUGAAGUUAAUCCGGGAUGGAACCAGAAAGCUUCUUGAGGGGCCCGGAUAAGAAGUCAGAUUGCCAUGGAGAGGAGGACAUCGCCCAAGAAAUGAUCCUGAUGCGGCCAAGAAACGUUACAAAUCAAUUGAAGUGAAAAUGAACCGGAACCCUCAAUAUGCCAUGGAUUAUCGCGCCGCCAUGGCCAAGUACUUGGAUCAAGGGUAUGCAAGAAGAGUACCAGGCGACGAACUUGAUUGUCUGAACCAGAGAUGGCUCCCUCACCAUGGAGUAUACAAGCAGUCCGGACCUCGGAAGUUACGGAUUGUCUUUGAUUUGGCUGCGAAAUAUUGCAACUCCUCUCUCAAUGAUUGUCUGUACACGGGACCGGCUCUGCAGAAUGACCUUGUUGUCUUACUGCUUGGAUUUCGGGAGUUUGAGUUUGCCGUCACCUCCGGUAUUGAAGCAAUGUACAGUAGAAUUAAGAUGGACCCAACUGACGCCCACUACCAUUGAUUUUUGUGGGAAGUAGAACCAGGGGGUGAAAUUGGAUUGUUUAAAUUACGGGAGUGGUAUUUGGAGACGCGUCAUCACCAUGUCAGGCGAUUCAUGUGCUCCAAAGAACCGCCGAAGAAUUCGGAAGUCCAGAUCUCUUGGAAACUGUUCAAUCAAGGUUUUAUAUGGACGAUUAUUUAGACAGCUUUCGAUCUGAAUGCGAGGCCGUGCGAACCUUGAAGAUCCUAGCUGAGACUCUCCUCCAUGGAAACUUCAAGUUGUCCAAGUGGAUGUUGAAUUCGGAAACUGUUGUGAAGAAGUGUACCCAGGAAAUUACAGCCAAAUAUCAGCAAGAAAAAACGGAUUUUGGACAAAAGGAAGGGAAAAUACUCGGAAUGACUUGGCAAACCUGGGACGACACCUUGUCGUUCAUCUUGAGUGUCGUGGACCAUCCGUCUUCGCCAUUCACAAGGAGGUUCCUUCUGAGCAAGUUGUCGGGUUUUUUUGAUCCCUUGGGAUUGGCGGCUCCUUUUACUGUAAAGGGGAAGAUUGCCAUGCAGACCUUAAUCAAACUGGAAAGAAGUUGGGAUGAAGACGUGGGAGAUAGAGAACAAACUUGGUGGAAUAAGUUGAUUCGUGCUAUCUCCAACUUGAAAUGCCUCAACACCCAAAGAUGCCUUAGACCUAAUUGGGCCAAGGAAGUCCAACUCCACGCAUUUUGCGAUGCCAGUGUGGAAGCGUUUGCCGCUGUAGUAUAUCUACGCUUAGCGGGAGAACCAGGUCAAGUGGAAACUCGAAUUGUGAUGGCCAAAACUCGGGUAGCUCCUUUGAAACCAAUUUCUGUGGCAAAACUCGAACUCAAUGGGGCCGUCUUGGCAUGCCGCUUGGCUCAAGUUGAUUAACGCUCCUACGGGGCCCAAUCAACAAACGAAUAUUCUGGACAGACUCUUCGGCAGUACGAGGAUGGAUCAGGGGACAGCUUCAUUCUACCAGACCUUUGUCAGCAACAGAAUUGGAGAAAUUCAGACGCUCUCAUGCGCGUUGGAAUGGAGGCAUGUUCCUGGCCGAUUGAACCGGCUGAUCACGCUACAAGGUCAGUGAUGACAGAACCAUCCAUUGCCGAGGAAUGGCUGAAGGGCCCGAAAUUUCUGAUCUGUGCUGAAGCUGAAUGGCCCCAAGAUAUAAAAGUGGAGAAGAAUCUCGAAGUAUAAAAAAGGACUUCAGUGCGUUCCAAAUCAAAAUGGAGGUGGAAAACAAAACAGAAUUGGAACCAUGAACCACUCAAUUCGUUGGAGAAUGCUCUGAAGAAAGAAAAUGAACAGUACGAGGAUCGAAUGCAAUGCAUCAAUCAGUUAGUACUACGAGCCCAAGGGGAGUCUUUGUGGGAAGAAAUUGCGUUGUUGAAGGUAAAGAAGCCUUUGAAAAGGUGUUCGCGACUGCUCGGCUUAAACCCACUCAUCGAUGAAGACGGAUGUCUGAGUUGGAGGCCGGAUUGAUAGGGCUCCCGUACCGUAUGAGCUCCGACAUCCAAUCGUGCUGGAGCCAAAUCAUCCACUAACUCUCCUCAUCCUCGACGAAAUUCACCAGGAAUCGAACCAUGCUGAGAUGAACCAUGUGCUCUCAGUCUUAAGGCAAAGAUAUCAUGUAUUUCGCGGUCGCGAAGCUUUGAAAAAACGAAGUCUAGAUGUCUUCUUGCAAAAGACGAGAUGCGAAGCCAAUACACAAUUGAUGGGCGAGCUACCAGAGCAAAGAUUGGAGGCCGCGCCACCAUUUACACGAAUAUCGGUAGACUGUUUCGGGCCCUACCAAGUUCUAAUAUCAAGAAAUAAAACGGACAAGUGGUGGGAUUGAUUUUUGCGUGCCUCAUCACACGUGCAACUCACUUGAAGUACUCCCAGGCUUACACGAGAAGACUUCCUGUUAGCCUUCCGUGUCUUUGAAAACCUAGAGGACGCCCCCUCUCGAUAUACUCUGAUAAUGGUACCAAUUUUUUGACGGCUGCACGGACUCUUAAAAGAAAGACCGGACUAGACUGGACUUUUCAACCACCCAACGCACCCCAUUGGGGAGGAGCUCAUGAAGCCUUAAUCAAAUCGGUGAAACGAGCCUUAGAUGGAGUCCUAGAACAAGAGGAGAAAACCUUACGUUUCAUGAAAAGUGAAGAAUUGAGAUUGGUGUUUGCAGAGUGACUGGCUUCCUUAACUCCAGACCUCUAACUUACAAGGGAACAACCGAAUGAAGCACCUGUCUGACUCCUAAUCACUUCUUAUUGCAACGACCUAAUCCAAUUAUUCCUCCGGGCAAUUUUUCCUCGAUGAAUCCGGGAACAUUUCCAUUAUUUGGAGGGAAUCAUCGACACUAUAUGGAAGAGAUGGACUCACGAGUACUUGCCAAACCUUAUUGCCAGACCUAAAUGGAAAUUGGAACAACAAAAUCUCAAAGUAGGCGAUUCCGUUUUGAUUGUGGAUUCUCACACACCGCGAGGGAAUGGAACAGUGGGCGGGUCAUCGCAGUUCAUCCAGGAAGGGAUGGCAAGGUUCGAGCUGCAACGAUGGAAACCAAAGGAGAAAAAAAAUGCGUCCUAUUACUAAGCUGUGCAUCCUGGAGAAAAAUGUUGGUGUGAGCACGCAAGGGAGAAGGAUGUUGGACGAAUAUCGAGCACCCUGAGCCCGAUAAUACGACAAACACGAUAUCAGCUGAAAAUGUAUAAACAAUACAAGGGUGUGAAAAACAAGAAAAAUAUAGACCACGUGCUAUAAUCAAC